AGAAUCAACUAUUACUUAACUUAUACAUGCAAGUAUCCGCACCCCCGUGAAAACGCCCUUAAAUUUCCUCUAGAAACAAGGAGCUGGUAUCAGGCACAAUUAUAAGCCCAAUACACCUAGCUACGCCACAUCCCCACGGAAAUUCAGCAGUAAUUAAUAUUGAAAAUAAGCGACAGCUUGAUUCAGUCAAAGUAAAAAGAGCCGGCAAAUCUGGUGCCAGCCGCCGCGGUUACACCACGUGGCUCAAAUUGAUUUUUUCGGCGUAAAGCGUGGUUAAAGUCAUUAAAAUUAUAGUCAAACUACAACUAAACUGUAAUACGCUUGUGCUUAAGAGGAUCAGAAACGAAAGUUACUAUAACUAAACCAACUUGAACCCACGACAGUUAGGACACAAACUGGGAUUAGAUACCCCACUAUGCCUCUCCGUAAACUUUAAACUACAUCCAUAUCGCCUGGGAACUACGAGCAAAGCUUAAAACCCAAAGGACUUGACGGUGCCCCAUAUCCGCCUAGAGGAGCCUGUCCUAUAAUCGAUAACCCCCGUUUAACCUCACCAUUUUUAGCCUAACAGCCUGUAUACCUCCGUCGUCAGCUUACCACGUGAGCGACCCUCAGUAAGUAUAAUGGUUAUCACCAAUACGUCAGGUCAAGGUGCAGCAAAUAAAAUGGGAAGAGAUGGGCUACACUCUCUACCCUAGAGUACACGAAAAACUAUUUAUGAAAUCUAGUCAGAAGGAGGAUUUAGCAGUAAAAGAGGACGAGAGAGCCCCUUUUAACACGGCCCUGGGGUGUGUACACACCGCCCGUCACCCUCUUCGAAACAACAAAAAAAAGUUCAUAACACAUUACAGCCCAAGAGAAGAGGCAAGUCGUAACAUGGUAAGUAUACCGGAAGGUGUGCUUGGAAA
rnacentral:ncRNA from 1 species